rnacentral:pre_miRNA from 1 species
UCUUAUGGAUGAACAAAGAAAGUGGUUUCUUGAUACGGAAUCUACUCCUGGUGAAGAGGCCGUGAA